AAGAUGUGAUUUGACAAAUAGCCUGGACCUGAGCCGUUCAGGACUUUAUAGAUAACAACCAGAACUUUGUAUUUAGCUUGGAAAUGGACUGGCAGCCAGUGGAGCUGCGGCAACAUGGGAGUGGUUCUCUCCCUGUACGGGGCUCCAGUUAGUAACUGCCAAUCGCUGAACUAGCUGUAAUUCCAAACUAUCUUCAAAGGCAGCCCCACGUAGAGAGCACUGCAGUAGUCCAAACAGGACUACUUAUGAAGACCAAACCAAGGGUACCAAUAAACCGAUGUUUUAUUUAACUGCAAAUCAGACCUUUUGCACACUAGAUAGGAUUCUCAUCAAGAAUUGGGGCAUGGAAAGAAGACUUAGUACUAAGUGGGAACACAGAGAAACUGGCUUCCCAACAGUCUCACUACGUAAUAGUAUUCCUUGAUCUCCCUUCCAACACAGGCGUGAAAAUAAAUAUAUAUACUGUUUUCUGUGAUUAUGCGGUUUUCUUGGAAUACCACAAUUCAUGUAGGUCUACAUUGUCAGUGUGUAAGUAGUCUACCACCCAGUCAGGUGACUUUCAUGCAUGGGCAUGGAAAUAUUACAAGUAAAUGGUGACAAAUCUAUUAAAAGUACCCUUUAGUACUGAUUGGCUAGCCCUUUCACAGAGACUGCUCCCGCUGGCCCUGUGGCUGGCAGGAAGGCGUGAGUCUGUUUAUAUAUAAGUGGAGAAUAUUUAUAAUGUGAUACAGGACAAAAGAAGGCCAACACCAGGACCACGAGCUGCCACAAACAACUUGCUUUUGAUUGAGUCUUUUGCUUUGGAUAUGUGCGACACUAACCCAGGAAUGCCACCUCAGCAACCCUGCUCCCCUGGGCCUAACCCACCACCCUACACAGAGCCUGGCAUAGAGCCAUACCCAUAUGCAGGCAACCCUGGCCAGCAUCCCCCACCCACUGGAUAUCCUGUGCCAUGUGAGCCCCCUUGUCAUGGACAUCACCGUCGUGGGCACCGACACCAUAGACGCCACCACCAUGGGCCCCUCCACCGUGUGUUCCAUAUCCUUGGCCGCUGCCACCACCAUGAGCAUCAUUAGUAUGGACACAGUCAUCAUGAUAAAAACUCCAGUAGCAGUUAGGAUUCAAGAUGAAGAUGUCCUUUCCUGCUUGCAGGAGCAGCUCAGCUUUCCAGCACUUUAAGCUACCAUUAAAAUUACUCUGGAGUCUUUCUA